CACUACUAAAAGCAGAAUACGGUGAGCGGAGAGAGCAUCCACGUCAUCUAAUUUAAUUGACCAAUAGAAAACUGUUAUGCGGCCACGUCAAUAAUUUCCCAAGGCCGGACACAGUUAUUUCCCAGUUAUCUGAUUCAGUGUGGCCCACUUUCAUACAAACCCCAUCACUUGGCCCAACUACUACGAUAGGGAUCACCGACUCUCCACUUCACCUUCUUCAGUGUAGUCUCUGCAAAUCACCGUUAAGUUGAAACUAAGUCUUCCCACUCUUUCACAUUUAAUAAGCUUCAUUACUUUAAAAAAAAAUUGUUUCUUCCGUUGAUAUUAUUUGGGCUUUUAUGAUUUUCAUUGGGUAACAACCGCCAUGACCAGAUACGCCGGAAGCUUCGAUCACCGGCAAGGACAAAGUCAUAUCAAACACAGGACAACUAUCAAGUUUUCAACUUGAACAAACUAUACCUAAAUGGCGGAGGCUGAGAGCUUUGUCCCUUUUCAGUGCAUAAGGAAUGAUGUCAUUUGGAGACUCAAAUCCUACAAGCAUGAUUGGAUCAGUGGUUUCAGAGCUGAAUUUAGAUGCUAGGAAAGCUAUGGACGAUGUUGGGAUCUGAUUCUGAAGAUCAGGUACUUUUCUUUUAAUUGUUUAUUUACAUAGACAUAAGAACAACUCUACUUACAUUCCAGUUUUCCCGAAUGCACAAGAAGCAUUUAUAAUAGAUUGAUGAUAUAAUGAUCAUGCAAGCCUAUUUCGUAGAUUACCUGAGAAAAAACUAAAGUUAUAUAUCAUGUAUUAGCAUGUGACAUCUAAGAUAACUAUAACAUAGAUUUUUAACCACAAUACAAAUUUGUUAUACUUUGUUAAUAAUUAUUUUUACCACCAAUCAAUUCUGAAAAAUAACAGUAUUGUACAAAUACGCUUAUGAACAUUAUUCAAAAUUAAUUAAUUAUAUUUGUCCUGAAAAAUAAAAGUAUUGUGGAAAAUACGAUUAUGAACAUUAUUCAAAACUAAUUAGUUAUAUAUUUGCAAAUACAUCACACAUAGAUGUAUAAUGA